UGGUCAAUCCUAAAGUUUUAUUUUUGUGGAUUAACUGUAGUGUGGUUCUAAACGAUAAUCUGAUUUUUGGUAAAUGUAUACGUUAUUGUUCGUACGAUCGCCGAAUUUUAAAGCGUCAAUAAAAAGUAUGCGGUUCUGAACGGCUGAUCCUUUAAGAAUACCUACUAAACAAUCGAAAAAGGUGUGCGAAAAUGACUUAUGGAAAAUGUACGAUUAUAAACAACGCCCCAAAAUGUAAUUAAAAGCAUCGGAUCUGUUGGAAGAUUGUUCGAUACCAACACUUUUUACUACGUUGGAUAUAGUCGAAUAUUAUAUAAGCACACGGUUGGUAUACAUAAUCUCUGGUGUAAAUUUAAAUCGCGGUAAAAAAAUCAAAUAAGAAAUAUCAUUCAAAGAAGUCGGUAGAAUAAACGGUUGGAAUAAUCUGAUGGAAAUUUCGUUGAUAUCGCUGAAUUUCGGAACCGCAA